rnacentral:hammerhead_ribozyme from 1 species
AUCCAGCUGAAGAGUCACGAAUAGGACGAAACGCACGUUCUGGAU